rnacentral:rRNA from 1 species
ACACAUGCAGUCGAGGGGUAACAGAUCUUCGGAUGCUGACGACCGGCGAACGGGUGAGUAACACGUAUGCAACUUACCCAUAACUCGGGAAUAGCCCAAAGAAAUUUGGAUUAAUACCCAAUAAUACAGGCGUACCGCAUGGUAUUCUUCGUUAAAGAAUAAUCGGUUAUGGAUAGGCAUGCGUUCUAUUAGGUAGUUGGUGAGGUAACGGCUCACCAAGCCGACGAUGGAUAGGGGAACUGAGAGGUUGUCCCCCCACACUGGUACUGAGACACGGACCAGACUCCUACGGGAGGCAGCAGUGAGGAAUAUUGGUCAAUGGACGAAAGUCUGAACCAGCCAAAUCGCGUGAAGGAAGAAGGUAUUAUGUAUCGUAAACUUCUUUUGUAAGAGAGUAAAGUGCACUACGUGUAGUGUAUUGCAAGUACCUUACGAAUAAGCAUCGGCUAAUUCCGUGCCAGCAGCCGAGGUAAUACGGAAGAUGCAAGUGUUAUCCGGAUUUAUUGGGUUUAAAGGGUGCGUAGGUGGUCUAAUAAGUCAGUGGUGAAAUCUCUUUGCUUAACAAGGAAAUUGCCAUUGAAACUGUUAGACUUGAGAAUGGACGAGGUAGGCGGAAUUCGUAGUGUAGCGGUGAAAUGCAUAGAUAUUACGAAGAACUCCAAUAGUGUAGACUGCUUACCAGACCAUAUCUGACACUAAGGCACGAAAGUGUGGGUAUCAAACAGGAUUAGAUACCCUGGUAGUCCACACAGUAAACGAUGAAUACUAACUGUUUGCGAUAUACAGCAAGUGGUCGAGCGAAAGCGUUAAGUAUUCCACCUGGGAAGUAUGCCGGCAACGGUGAAACUCAAGGAAUUGACGGGGGCCCGCACAAGCGGAGAACAUGUGGUUUAAUUCGAUAAUACGCGAGGAACCUUACCCGGGCUCGAAC